rnacentral:tRNA from 1 species
GCAUAUAUAACUUAAUGGUAGAGUUUCAGGUUGUGGUUCUGAAUGUUGUGGGUUCGAAUCCCACUAUUUGCC